GCUGAGCUUCUCGUUCUUAAAUUCCAGCAAGGUAGGAGGAUCGUAUCCGCUAGGAAAAUGGCAAGCGUUUGCAAGCUAAGUGUGUCAUGCCAGCCGAAUGCUCGAGCGAAUUUUCGAUCUAGAGUGCACAGGGCGAGUGUUUUGCGUCCACUUUGCUGUAACACUGGCACUCCGAGCUCCCUGGAGAAUUCUCCUUCUCCUCGAAAGAAUCGGGAGACAAAGCUACUGAGCUCGUUAGAUUCGUACUUCAGCAAGCUCCAAAACAAGAGUAGCGCUGCGAAAGACGUUGCGGUGGAGAAUUCGGCAAGCUCCGGGGCUGUGAUCGAGGACUCGAAGAAUACGUCCGGGGAUUUACAAGGACUCGACGCUCUCAAUGCCUACUUCGACAAAAUGCAAGUUCCAGCCACCAAAGACGUUCCGAAAGAAGUGCCCAAAGCUCCAGUAGAAGAAGAUGAGAAAGUUCUUAGUUUUCUACACGAGCUAGACAAAAGCUUUCAAAAGGACGACGCUAAAACUCUUCCUACGGACUUUGCUCCAAGAAAUGCUUCUACUUUCACGAAUGUGAUCAUAGGUGUAAAUGCCGCUGUCUUUCUCUUUGGUCUCGCGAGCCCCGUUCAAACUCCCGAGAUGGUCGAAGUUCCUCUCCCGUUUCUAGUCGGAGCUAAGAUCAACUCUCUCAUUGCGGAUGGACAGUGGUGGAGACUAGUCACUCCAAUGUUCUUGCACGAUGGUCUCAUCCAUAUCGGCCUCGGUGCCUGGGCUCUACUCUCCUUCGGUCCGGGAGUGGAGUCCGUCUAUGGUCCGGCCGGGUUUUGUAUGAUCUAUCUACUUGGAGGAAUUUUCGGGAACAUCACGAGUUAUUUCCUCACUCCAGCUCCAACAGUCGGUGGCACUGGUCCUCUUUACGCUCUAGUCGCUGCAUGGGCCGUCUACAUUAUCCAGAACCGCCAGAGUUUCGGCAAAGAGAUGCAAGCAGGGAUCACGAGUGACGUGAUACAAAAGAUCCUCGUUAUGAGCGCUCUACACUUGGCUUUGACGGAUGCGUUGCCUGCUGAUAACUGGACUCAUGUUGGUGCGGCAGCAGUAGGCACUUUGUUUGGUCUUUUGGCUACUCCAAAAGCCGGUCAAAUGAAUACCCGGCUAGAAGAUCUUGAUGACAACAUGGUAAUGUCUGGCGAAGCUCCGGAGUUCCAGCGCUUGACGCAGGCCUUCGCGCUUUGCAUGGGAGUGUUUUUUGUUCUUUAUAGUUUUGGAAGUCCUGCAGCAAGCGAGAUGCUACGAGUUCUCUCGCAGGAGAACGACACGGAUUUCCUGUAGUCGUAGCGCUUGGGCUUCUCAAACGGUGACGCUCGAAACGAGAUAAGGUGGACAAGAAUGCAUUGGACAACUCGUCUCCCUCGAAGGAUGUUCGAAUAUCCAAACGAGGACAUUUAAGAGAGACUAUUUGCCGUGUCAACGAGAGGGAAAGGAGGAGGCAAUGGAUAUGGGACAGGAUUAUGUCAAGCUGGUGACACUCAUCGUCGCGUUCCUCGCAGCAGGAGCUUAUGCUCAACUUCAACUCCCAUCCUACGCCUUGAAAGAUUAUCCUCUCGGGAAAGCCUUUGCGAAUCCAAACCAGCAGUGGCAUUUUGCGGCUCUGUGUUUGAAAAACCAGAGCUCGUCUUGUACCAGACUUGACUACCAUGGUUCUCUCAACGUUACCAGCGUCCCAGACUAUUGCGGGCCUUGCGCCAACCAAACCUUGGUAGUGCUCAAGUGUAUCGACCGAGUUAAGUCCCACUUCCUCUUCACGAACAAGGCAAGCACAGAUGACGUGAGAAGAUCGCUCCACACUGGCUGCUCCACCGGAAACUUCACGAUCGUUCCCAGUGCGAAGAAUGUGGGGACCAAACUCACAGCGUCGUUUUGGGUGAUCCUCUUUGGAACUUGGCUCGCUGCUAGAGUAUAAAGCGACAGGCGCCAACACUUUUCUACACAUCGCUAUAGUACAUAUAGCUUUAAAGAAAAAAAGAAGGAAGCCCACAAAGAGACUUGUCAAAUAAAACUCUCCCCCCAAAAGUCUUUGAAGUCAAUCGCCAAUUUUUGACAAUGUUCAUCCGUA